GUAGUGAUCCGUUUUCGAGUCUCAUUUUGGAUGUAACAAACAUCGUGGCAUACUUAAUACACUCCGUUUAUGAUUUGUUCUUCGAUUUGCAAUCACCAGCUAUGGUCUUAGUUGGAAUUUAUCGCACUUAUUUGAAAUCAAAUAUAGUACAGGCUCAUUCAUUCGACUAAAUGUUAUAAAAUUGUUAAAGGAACAAUUUGAUCAACCCGCAACCUAGCAUCUGCUGCUGCGCACGGCUAAGACAACUAUUUGACUUUAAUUUCAUGUUCUGGGUAUGCAUUUUUUUCUCCGGAUUUUGAAUCUACUUUGGACAAUCAAAUCAAGUUUACGCAUUAAGAGAAAUCCUAGAAAUAGGUCCAACAGUGGACACACACUUUUUGGAAUGAAACGUCGAUAAACCGCUUUACACGAUUAUGUACACAACUUAGUCAUAAUUAAUACGAAAAAUAUGGCGUUUACACUGUUACCAAGCUUCUCAUUCAAUUUUCGAGGAAUUUGUAUGGAAUUUAUAUGGGAAGUUUUUCAUAUUAUCAAUAAUAUGAAAAGUUGGAAACCACAAGUAGUGAGCAAUACUCAAAAUAAAUAAAAAAAAUAAAAUUGGUAUUGCUAAAUUUAAAUAUAUGUAAAAUAUAAGUUGAACCAACCCUUCACAUAUUUGCCUUAUAUAGGCAUUUUGGUAUAGUACUAUAUAAAUUUGUAUGUAUGUAUGUAUGCAGUUGUUUGUAAUAUAUAUACAUAUUUAUGUAUAAACAUAUUUAUUAUCAGAAUCUAUGCUCAUAAAUAUAUUUAAGCAUUAUUCAUAUAAAUGUAGAUACGAAUGUGUUGCGAGCUUCGAGCAAUGAAACAGUAGUGGGUGCCAACACUCUAAAUCUUUUUCAAUUGUUAACAAUUUUAAAUAGUUUUGUCGCUGGUUGAAUUGCAAAUGUAAAACUUUCUUUCCGCACUAUGUUUAUAAAUAAAACGAAUUUAGUUCACAUAGGCCUUUAUUGCCUUAAACGUUAUUUUACAUGGAAAUUAAGUGGAGCAAUAAAAUAAUAGUGCAAGGAAAAAAGUUAUCUUAAAUGAACGUUGAAAAAUAUUUUUCAAGUACUGUCUAUACCUAAUCUUAGUAUUUGGUAGUAUGAGCUUUAUUUUAAGUCACAACUUCACAGCAACAAUCUCACGUAGUGAUAUAUAUAUAUCAAAAUUAAUUUAACAAAUGCUCACUACUAUUUCAUUGCUUGCAGCUGUAUGUAUGUUUUUAGCAAUUUAAUUUAUGUUACCUGUGUUUUAACAAACCGUAUAUAAUUGUAAAUAUUUUUGAUAUUUAAGUACUGCAAUACUUGGCUGACACACCCUGACGCUAAAUAUGCAGAACACACUUUACGGCGCACAAGCCAAUCGGUAUGUUGUAGUUUGUUAAAGAUUUAGCGUUGUUGUUUUCUUUACCAUUACCGGCGCAUACAUAAUUGCGUUAAUCUUGUACCGCAUGUAUUGUAUUUAAAUUAUUAUUUUUAAUUUUUGCUGCUUAAUUAUUAAUUUUAAUUAGUUAAUUGUUUAAUAUUAGCAAUUAAAAGAUUACUUGAGCUUAAA